CCUACGGGGAGCAGCAGUGAGGAAUAUUGGUCAAUGGACGAGAGUCUGAACCAGCCAAGUAGCGUGAAGGAUGACUGCCCUAUGGGUUGUAACCUUCUUUUAUAAAGGAAUAAAACGAGGCACGUGUGCCUUUUUGCAUGUACUUUAUGAAUAAGGAUCGGCUAACUCCGUGCCAGCAGCCGCGGUAAUACGGAGGAUCCGAGCGUUAUCCGGAUUUAUUGGGUUUAAAGGGAGCGUAGAUGGGUUGUUAAGUCAGGUGUGAAAGUUUGCGGCUCAACCGUAAAAUUGCAAUUGAUACUGGCAGUCUUGAGUACAGUUGAGGUAGGCGGAAUUCGUGGUGUAGCGGUGAAAUGCUUAGAUAUCACGAAGAACCUCGAUUGCGAAGGCAGCUUACUAAACUGUGACUGACAUUGAUGCUCGAAAGUGUGGGUAUCAAACAGGAUUAGAUACCCCAGUAGUC
rnacentral:rRNA from 1 species